UAAGAUAAAGUUGUAUCCUUGAAAGAUUUGCUGGUAAUAUUUGGCAUAAUGGGCAAGCAUUGAAGUGCAACUUGGUGAACUACAAAACUCAUCAAAAGCAGUUAUAAAAAUUUGAGUUCUGGAAGAAAAAAGACAAGAAAACACUUAAGAAUUAAAGACGAAGGAGAUUGUAUAUGUUAUUUACUAAGAAUUGUUUUUUAAAAUGGCCUAGCUGUAAAAUUAAACUAUGCAGGGAGAGGACAAAAAAUUGGAAUAGGAAAAAUGUUGAUUGCAUAUGUUGCUAUUGAAACUGUAAAUUCAAAUAAGCAUGGCUUAUGCAGACAUGUGAUAGAGAUAGAGGAAGAAAAAAUAAUAAUCGUGGGCACCAAAUAUCAUAAGCUAAACACGAUUCAAUAACAAGUA